rnacentral:rRNA from 1 species
UGGAUCUUUCAAUUCGCUUCGGAGUGCGGGUGGCCGCGGCCGUUAAAUCUUUAUUCAAAGGUUGACCUCGGAUCAGGUAGGGAUACCCGCUGAACUUAAGCA